ensembl:lncRNA
CAAACUUUGGGUGAUCCUCCUGUCUCUUGAGUGCUGGGAUUACAGGCAUGCACUACCGCACCCAGGGGAACGAACUCGGGACCUUGCGCUUUCGAGGCAGGCAGUGGAACCACUAAGCUAAAUCCCUGGCCCUCCUACCAUUUUGGACCCAUUCUGCACUGAAGAAAUGCUUGGGUAGAUGUUUGGACUGCUCUGGUGAAAGAGGAGUAUCUUCCAGUUACAAGCUGGCUGUGUGUGUGUGAGUGUGAGCUCCACCCCCAGCCACUUUUGUUUUUCUUUAGCAAACUAGCUUUUUCAUUGACCUUGGGCAACUGUGUUUUUUUCCUUUCUUUCUCUUCCUGGACUACCAAUGUCAGUCUUUCUAUGAUAAUUCAGCUCCAGGGUAUAGAUGAUGCCUUUCCCAUAUAGAACUCAAAGUGUGUUACAGAAACUGUGUAUCAUUUACCACUUUAAGUAAGGCUGACUUAUAUCCUCCUGGAUGCUGUCACAGUACCAUGAUUGUUUUAUCUCUCCUGCUAGAC